rnacentral:rRNA from 1 species
CCUACGGGAGGCUGCAGUGGGGAAUAUUGGACAAUGGGGGGAACCCUGAUCCAGCCAUGCCGCGUGUGUGAAGAAGGCCCUCGGGUUGUAAAGCACUUUCAGUGAGGAAGAACGCCUGGUGGUUAAUACCCAUCAGGAAAGACAUCACUCACAGAAGAAGCACCGGCUAACUCCGUGCCAGCAGCCGCGGUAAUACGGAGGGUGCGAGCGUUAAUCGGAAUUACUGGGCGUAAAGCGCGCGUAGGUGGCUUGAUAAGCCGGUUGUGAAAGCCCCGGGCUCAACCUGGGAACGGCAUCCGGAACUGUCAAGCUAGAGUACAGGAGAGGAAGGUAGAAUUCCCGGUGUAGCGGUGAAAUGCGUAGAGAUCGGGAGGAAUACCAGUGGCGAAGGCGGCCUUCUGGACUGACACUGACACUGAGGUGCGAAAGCGUGGGUAGCAAACAGGAUUAGAUACCCUUGUAGUC